GAUGAACGCUGGCGGCGUGCCUAAUACAUGCAAGUCGAGCGAACGGACGAGAAGCUUGCUUUUCUGAUGUUAGCGGCGGACGGGUGAGUAACACGUGGAUAACCUACCUAUAAGACUGGGAUAACUUCGGGAAACCGGAUCUAAUACCGGAUAAUAUUUUGAACCGCAUGGUUCAAAAGUGAAAGACGGUCUUGCUGUCACUUAUAGAUGGAUCCGCGCUGCAUUAGCUAGUUGGUAAGGUAACGGCUUACCAAGGCAACGAUGCAUAGCCGACCUGAGAGGGUGAUCGGCCACACUGGAACUGAGACACGGUCCAGACUCCUACGGGAGGCAGCAGUAGGGAAUCUUCCGCAAAGGGCGAAAGCCUGACGGAGCAACGCCGCGUGAGUGAUGAAGGUCUUCGGAUCGUAAAACUCUGUUAUUAGGGAAGAACAUAUGUGUAAGUAACUGUGCACAUCUUGACGGUACCUAAUCAGAAAGCCACGGCUAACUACGUG
rnacentral:rRNA from 1 species